UGAGGAAUAUUGGUCAAUGGGCGAGAGCCUGAACCAGCCAAGUAGCGUGAAGGAUGACUGCCCUAUGGGUUGUAAACUUCUUUUAUAAAGGAAUAAAGUCGGGUAUGUAUACCCGUUUGCAUGUACUUUAUGAAUAAGGAUCGGCUAACUCCGUGCCAGCAGCCGCGGUAAUACGGAGGAUCCGAGCGUUAUCCGGAUUUAUUGGGUUUAAAGGGAGCGUAGAUGGAUGUUUAAGUCAGUUGUGAAAGUUUGCGGCUCAACCGUAAAAUUGCAGUUGAUACUGGAUAUCUUGAGUGCAGUUGAGGCAGGCGGAAUUCGUGGUGUAGCGGUGAAAUGCUUAGAUAUCACGAAGAACUCCGAUUGCGAAGGCAGCCUGCUAAGCUGCAACUGACAUUGAGGCUCGAAAGUGUGGGUAUCAAACAGGAUUAGAUACCCUGGUAGUCCACACGGUAAACGAUGAAUACUCGCUGUUUGCGAUAUACAGCAAGCGGCCAAGCGAAAGCGUUAAGUAUUCCACCUGGGGAGUACGCCGGCAACGGUGAAACUCAAAGGAAUUGACGGGGGCCCGCACAAGCGGAGGAACAUGUGGUUUAAUUCGAUGAUACGCGAGGAACCUUACCCGGGCUUGAAUUGCAACUGAAUGAUGUGGAGACAUGUCAGCCGCAAGGCAGUUGUGAAGGUACUGCAUGGUUGUCGUCAGCUCGUGCCGUGAGGUGUCGGCUUAAGUGCCAUAACGAGCGCAACCCUUAUCGAUAGUUACCAUCAGGUUAUGCUGGGGACUCUGUCGAGACUGCCGUCGUAAGAUGUGAGGAAGGUGGGGAUGACGUCAAAUCAGCACGGCCCUUACGUCCGGGGCUACACACGUGUUACAAUGGGGGGUACAGAAGGCAGCUACACGGCGACGUGAUGCUAAUCCCUAAAGCCUCUCUCAGUUCGGAUUGGAGUCUGCAACCCGACUCCAUGAAGCUGGAUUCGCUAGUAAUCGCGCAUCAGCCACGGCGCGGUGAAUACGUUCCC
rnacentral:rRNA from 1 species